GUGCUCGCUUCGACAACACAUAUACUAAAAUUGGAAUGAUACAGUGAAGAUUAGCAUGGCCCCCGUGAAAGGAUGAUAGCACUAAUUUGUGAAACAUUCCAUAUUUGA